AUUCCCAAACUGCUGCAGAACUCAUCUGCCACUGAAGUGUGCAAAAGAAAAUAUUCCUGGAAUCUUAAAAAAAUUUUUGAAGUCAGUUACUCCACAAGCCCUAUUUGGAAGACUCUUUGAAAAGAGAAGCAUCAGUUUUCCAGUAAGAAGUAAAUGGAGAGUCCAGAGUUGCUUCUGUUGACCAUCCAUUUCCUGUGGUCCAGAGGGGCUACAAGUGUGACACAGAUUAAACUCUCUAUAGGAAGUCUCUGAUGGGAAAGAACAAGUUCAGCUUCCCAUUGGGGAUGAUAGAACUGGUACUCAGGUAAUCAACAUCUUGCUGAGUCUACGAGAAAGCAUUUGGGACAACUUGACAAUGCAUG